UGCAUGGUUGUCGUCAGCUCGUGUCGUGAGAUGUUGGGUUAAGUCCCGCAACGAGCGCAACCCUUAAGCUUAGUUGCCAUCAUUAAGUUGGGCACUCUAAGUUGACUGCCGGUGACAAACCGGAGGAAGGUGGGGAUGACGUCAAAUCAUCAUGCCCCUUAUGAUUUGGGCUACACACGUGCUACAAUGGACAAUACAAAGGGCAGCGAAACCGCGAGGUCAAGCAAAUCCCAUAAAGUUGUUCUCAGUUCGGAUUGUAGUCUGCAACUCGACUACAUGAAGCUGGAAUCGCUAGUAAUCGUAGAUCAGCAUGCUACGGUGAAUACGUUCCCGGGUCUUGUACACACCGCCCGUCACACCACGAGAGUUUGUAACACCCGAAGCCGGUGGAGUAACCUUUUAGGAGCUAGCCGUCGAAGGUGGGACAAAUGAUUGGGGUGAAGUCGUA
rnacentral:rRNA from 1 species